UCUCCUCCGCACAGAGACACAGACCUCGAGAGAGUGUGAAUGGCGAAGAACAACGCGUCUUUGGAAUCGGUGUACGAGUUCUUGAAGCGGUGACGACUCGCCGGUAAUCGGAUCCCUCCAGAUCGUUCAGCUCAGCUCCUCCGCUUCCUCUCCCUCCGAUCUCAUCACGUAAGCAACAAACCCAUCUCUCGCCGGCGAUUCGAAUUUCAAAACCCUUGCUUAUCCACUCUCGCUUGCUGCAACGUCGUUUCGAAUCGGCGCGCUUUCGAUACGCGUCGUCAUCGUCGACUCCACUUCACACCACCAUGCCUCGCGCCACCAUCGACUUCUGCCUCCAUCACCGUGAUGACGGACCAAUCACAUCCCGCCACCUCGAAUUCGGUAUCUACGGCGGAGAAGCCGCUGCCAAUACCGGCUGUAGCCUAUUUGAUGCGUACGUAAACAAGACCUUGGACAUGAUUGAGGGUUUUUGAUUCGGGUUUGUGAUUGGUGGUUUUUGCAGGUAUUUUUGCAUUGGUGAGCGAGAAGGACAGUAAGAGGCAUAAUACCAUUGAAGAAACUUAGAAAUGGUCCCCAGGUCACCAAAUUUGUAUUCCUGUAUAUUUACACUUUCAUCAAUUUUCAGCUCAAGCUUUAUAAUCAUAGCCGAGAAAGGAAUGAAUUGUUUAAUGAGAAAAAGAGUUUGAUGUUUAUGUUGACUGGUGGUAAUGGAUUGAAAUGGGUUGUGGGUGCCGUCAAUUGGAACUAUCUAUAUAGUGCUAAUAUACAUUGUAACUUAAUGGUUGGUUGCGAUUCGUGGAGCAUAUUUGUAGCUUUAGAUUUGAUAUACAAUGUCAUAGUGUUCAGUUUUUUGUUUGUCUUAUAUGUUUGCAGACUUGGAAUUAAGUUUAGUUCUGUUAGUGUAGAACAGUGAGUAAGAGUUUGUUUUUAAGUGAAAUUAUGUUUACCAUAGUGGUUUAGAUUAUGGAAAAUCAUACAGGAGGAGAAAAAGAAGUACAAUGAUCUUGAUUUCUACUCUUGCAUCUUUGUAGGGAUCACGAUGAGCUGAGAAGAGUAAUGGUGCUAAACAUAUUCCAAUGAGUGAGCUGAUGGAUGGGUCUGAACCUACUGUUGAGAUAAAAAUAAAGACAUUGGAUCGCAAACCUAUACUCUCAAAGAGCAUAAAGAGAAGCAAUGUCUUGCACGGAGAGCACUUCUCAUGGGCGGUAUCAUGAAGGGACUUGUUCAUGUGACAGAUUGUGGUAUUUUUCUCAAGGUUAGUGUUAAUGUUAUUUUGAACCUUAUGUCUGACGUAUCCUGACAGGACCCGCCCCGAAUUUCACCCUGAAAUCCGAGGUGGC